UGGUGAGCCGCGAAAUAGCUCAUUCAACAGCCAUAGUUUAUUGGAUCUUCUCUCAUACUUGGAUACCUGUGGUAAUUCUAGAGCUAAUACACGCAACAAAACCCUGACUUCGGAAGGGGUGCAUUUAUUAGAACAAAACCAAUCGGACUUGUCCGUAGUUUGGUGAAUCUGAAUAACUCAGUUGAUCGCACAGUCCUUGCACUGGCGACGUAUCUUUCAAGUGUCUGCCUUAUCAACUUUCGAUGGUAGUUUAUAUGACUACCAUGGUUGUAACGGGUAACGGAGAAUAAGGGUUCGACUCCGGAGAGGGAGCCUGAGAAACGGCUACCACAUCCAAGGAAGGCAGCAGGCGCGCAAAUUACCCACUCUCAGCUCGAGGAGGUAGUGACGAAAAAUAACAAGAUGGUUCUCUAUGAGGUCCAUCAUUGGAAUGGGUACAAUUUAAACCCUUUAACGAGGAUCUAUUGGAGGGCAAGUCUGGUGCCAGCAGCCGCGGUAAUUCCAGCUCCAAUAGCGUAUAUUAAAGUUGUUGCGGUUAAAAAGCUCGUAGUUGGAUCUGCGGUCUCGCGUCCCGGUGAAUCCUCAGGGUUCUACUGGGUUCGCAGGCCUACCUCGCUGGUUUUCCCCUGGUCCUCUUCACUGAGUGCCUUGGGUGACCAGCAAGUUUACUUUGAAAAAAUUAGAGUGCUCAAAGACAGGCGCGUAGCCUGAAUCGUGGUGCAUGGAAUAAUAGAAUAGGACCUUGGUUCUAUUUUGUUGGUUUUCGGAACGCGAGGUAAUGAUUAAGAGGGACAGACGGGGGCAUUCGUAUUGCUGCGUUAGAGGUGAAAUUCUUGGAUCGCAGCAAGACGGACAACUGCGAAAGCAUUGCCAAGAAUGUUUUCAUUAAUCAAGAACGAAAGUUAGAG
rnacentral:rRNA from 1 species